CCAAAGGUGUAAACAGCUUAGAGUGAGGUAUCACCUGCAGGAGGAACCCAGGCUCCCAGCCUUUUGAGGCAUAGGCUCCUGGCUGAAGAAUGAGAAGGAAUCGGAUCUUAUUAUAUCCCCAAGGCCAGCGGGCACACUGCUCUCUGAUUUUCUAGAGCAAUACUUCCCUAAGGCAUUAAUGGUUACAAACGUAGUGCAAUGAUUCAUCCAGGAGCUGUAAGUACCUGGGAGCCUCAACAGAGCAGGGGCAGCCCCUCGGGUUCCAGCAGGGCUUUGGGAGGAGGAAACACAGCGGAUGGUCUAGGCAUAUCUGUGUGUUAAGACAGACUGCAUUUCACCUGAUGAGGCUGGAGACUUCUCAAAGACCCCAAUGGCUCCAGACAGG